rnacentral:rRNA from 1 species
AACGAACGCUGGCGGCGCGCUUAACACAUGCAAGUCGAACGAGAAGCUGUAGCAAUACAGUUGUACAGUGGCGAACGGGCGAGGAAUACAUGGGUAACCUACCCUCGAGUGGGGAAUAACCAGCCGAAAGGCUGGCUAAUACCGCGUACGCUUCCCAGUCUGCGGGUUGGGAAGGAAAGCUCUACCGUGGGUAGAGCGCUCAAGGACGGGCUCAUGUCCUAUCAGCUUGUUGGAGGGUAACGGCCUACCAAGGCAACGACGGGUAGCUGGUCUGAGAGGACGAUCAGCCACACUGGCACUGCGACACGGGCCAGACUCCUACGGGAGGCAGCAGUGAGGAAUAUUGCGCAAUGGGCGACAGCCUGACGCAGCGACGCCGCGUGAGGGAUGACGGCC